rnacentral:rRNA from 1 species
GUAGGUGGCAAGCGUUGUCCGGAAUUAUUGGGCGUAAAGCGCGCGCAGGCGGUUCUUUAAGUCUGAUGUGAAAGCCCACGGCUCAACCGUGGAGGGUCAUUGGAAACUGGAGAACUUGAGUACAGAAGAGGAAAGCGGAAUUCCACGUGUAGCGGUGAAAUGCGUAGAGAUGUGGAGGAACACCAGUGGCGAAGGCGGCUUUCUGGUCUGUAACUGACGCUGAGGCGCGAAAGCGUGGGGAGCAAACAGGGAUUAGAUACCCUGGUAGUCCACGCCGUAAACGAUGAGUGCUAAGUGUUAGGGGGUUUCCGCCCCCUUAGUGCUGCAGCUAACGCAUUAAGCACUCCGCCUGGGGAGUACGGCCGCAAGGCUGA